GCAUGGGAACUGGAACUGAAGGAUCUUCCUGAUAUUCACUUUCCCCGCUGCUAUCUGCCCCCCUGUACCAACGCAGCCACUUCAGAAUCCCAUAUGCAUGUAUUCUGUGAUGCCUCUGAUCAUGUGUAUGGUGCUGUUGCCUACCUUCAGACUAAAGAUCAGCAUGACCACACCCAUGUCAGUUUCAUCAUGGCCAGAUCUCGUAUAGCUCCUAAACGCCAACUAUCUAUCCCUCGCCUGGAACCAUGUACAGCCCUUUCCGGUGCCCAGCUGGCUAACCUCCUCAGUUCCAAACUCACCAUUCCACUACAGUCAGUGAAUCUCUGGACAGAUUCUACAACAGUCCUGUCAUGGCUAACAUCUGACUCCUGUCGUUAUAAGGUGUUUGUCGGCACAAGAAUAGCGGAGAUCCAGACUCUGACUGACACAUCGAACUGGAGAUAUGUUGACUCGAAGAAUAAUCCAGCUGACUACCUGACACGGGGCAAAACACUCCUAGAACUUUCCCAGCAACACAGAUGGAGUCAAGGCCCUCCAUUCCUUUUGCUGAAUAUCAACUGCUGGCCAGCCAAUCCGUGUGGGGUAGCUGAAUCAGAGCCUGUUGAGGAACUCAGGAAGUCCAUGUUCUGCAGUGCAGUGAUGUCAGAUGACAUUAACAACCCUGACGAUCUGAACAAGUACAGCAGUUGGGAUGAUCUGAUGAAAGAAACGAAGAAUAUGCUACAAGAGGCGGUAGAUCACGACCCAAACAUAGCUCAAAGCUAUAUACAGUCAGAGAAGCAUCUUCUGCAAAAGGCCCAAUUAGAGUGCUUUCCUGAUGAAGUCAAUGCCCUCAAAACUCUCCCUACUAAAAAAAAAACUACUCCCUCUGUCUCCUGAAUAUGACACUGAUCUUGGCCUCAUCAGAGUAGGUGGUCGACUUCGAAGAGUGGAGACCCUUGGCAACGACAACAUCCAUCCAACUAUAUUGGAUCCAAAACAUCACAUAACCAAACUCAUGAUAAAACAUUAUGAUGAGAAACUACUUCACCCAGGCCCUGAGCGUGUCCUGGGGGAAAUUAGAUGCAGGUACUGGAUCCUGCGUGGUCGCCAAGCUAUUCGUCAGCAUCAACGCCAAUGUCAGGACUGUCAGAGAUGGAGCCAACCCAAUCAUUCCCAAAAUGGCAGACCUUCCUCCAGCCCAUCUUAGACUUUUCAAGCCCCCCUUCUGGUCGACAGGCAUGGACUGCUUUGGCCCUUUCAUUGUGAAAAUCGGCCGUCGCACAGAGAAGCGAUGGGGCAUACUCUUCAAAUGCUUAACAAAACGCUGCAUACAUCUUGAGUUGCUUGAUAGCAUGGAUGCAGAUACAUUUCUAAUGGCAUUCAGAAGAUUUGUCUCACGCAGAGGGAAACCCUUUGAAAUCCUCUCUGACUGUGGGACUAAUUUCAGAGCGGGAGAAGCAGAGCUGAAAAAUGCAUUCCUGUCCAUGGCACCAGACCUGCAGCAGCAACUGGCUCACACACAGGUGAACUCCCAAUACAAUCCUCCAUCUGCCCCACAUUUCGGUGGAAGCUGGGAAUGAGAGAUAAAAUCAAUAAAAAUGGCCCUCCAUGUAGCAGUAGGAAACCAACCAACAACAGAGACAGUCCUACACACAGUCCUGAUUGAGGUUGAGGGCAUUUUGAAUUCCAAACCUCUCAGAUACAUCUCCUCUGACCUUGCUGAUCCAGACCCAGUAACACCAAAUAUGUUGCUGAUGGGGUGGUCCGACUCCUCUCUUCCUCAGGAGAUCAACUGUGCAAGUGAACUCCUAGGCAGACAAAGAUGGCGUCACAGUCAGAUCUUGGCUGAUCAUUUUUGGACAGCCUUCAUUCGCUAUUACCUUCCAAACCUUCAAACCAGGCAAAAAUGGGAGACCCACAAGAAAAACUUGGAUUCAGGUCAGGUUGUACUGAUAGUUGACCCCCAGUAUCCUCGAGCAUCAUGGCCUAUCGGAAGGAUAAUUGAAACCUGCCCUGGAAACGAUGGAAAGGUUUGCAGUGCUAAGGUCAUUAUCCAAGGCCGAGAAUACCUAUGCCCUGUUUCCAGAUUGAUCCCACUGCCUGAAAUGACUGAUGAAGCCAGAUGAAACGUAUUUGCUACACAAAUCCGGGGGCGGCUGUCAGAAAGUGCCAGUUCAUAUUCCAUCCUCUCCACUAGGAGGAGGCACCCAAUGGUGGCUCAGGGUAUCAGUGGUACCUCCCACUCUAUAAAUAGAGGCCUGAAGAUCACUUCCUCCUCUUUGUCUCCAAGCACUCACACCUUGACUGAGCGUUUGUCAGGUGUUUGCCAUGUGUCUUUUGGUUUGACCUCCAAUAACCAUGGUAAUCAUCCUGCAACAUCACAGAACCAACAUUCACCCUGUGAUUUAAAAUAAAUUGGACGAUUGAUUGAUUGCAA